rnacentral:lncRNA from 1 species
CGCGGCUCCGCAGCCCGGGGGCCCGGCCGGCAGGGAGCGCCCGCGGAGCCCGGGCCGGGGCGGGUGCGCGGGGCGCCCGGCUCACCUGCAGCGCCGCGCCAGGAAGCGUUCAGCGCGAGAGGGCGCGCCCGGCGCUGGCUCUCCCGCCCCGCGGCCGCCCGCUGGGCCUGGCCCGCGCCCCGCGCCCUUGGCAUGGCCGUGGCCGCCGCGCCGCCUCCGGAAGGCCGGCUUCCCGGAACAGCCGGAGGGCGGCGGGGAAUCCGUGCCGAGGCCCUGGAGCCACCCCUCGCCUUCCCUCUCCCGCCUGAGCCGCGCUGGCGCACUGGAGGCGGACUCUGGAGGCGCGGGCUGCGCCCAAAAGGCCAGAGCAGGUCGAGGGGCAGCCAAGGACCAAGAAACGGAGGAACGGAGAGGUGAAGUGUCUAGUCCAAGUCACAAGACUGGGAAACGUUGGGGCUGCGCACAGAACUCAGGGCUCUCGACUCCCUGGCACCGCGGGGCCUCAGUGCGUGUGCCGCUGGGCUCAGCUUGCCGGUUCCUUUGCUGGUCUCUCAUUGUUGCAGUCGAGGGUGGCAGCCAUCUGGAGGACCGAUCUGGAUGCUGGGAUGGCCGGGCCUCCUGCUCUCCGUGAACCCUCAGGAGCUCGCCUGAGGUCUCCAGCUGGAUUACCAGUCGUCUUACACGGCGGCUCAGAGCUCCCAGAAGCACACAAAUGGAAGCUUCCAGGCCUUCCUAAGACUUAGGCCCAGAAAUAGCACAGCCUCACUUCUGCCACAUCCUAUUGGUUAAAUUCAAGGGGAAGAGAAAUAAAUGCCACUUCUUG